rnacentral:lncRNA from 1 species
UGUGUGUGUGCCCAAAGGUCAGCCUCAGGGGUUGUUCCUUAGUAGCUGUAACCUUUUCUUCUUUUUUUCUGUUGUUUGUUUUUUUUUGUUUUUUUGUUUUUGUUUUUUAUUUUCUUGGAGACAGGAUCUCUCUCUCUCUAGCUCUGGCUGUCCCUGAACUGGUUCUGUAGAGUAGGCUGGCCUUGAACUUAGAGAUUCUCCUGCUUCUGCCUCCCAGGUGCUGGGAAUUAAAUGCAUGCCCACCUUUCCCAGCUGCUUAGUGUUUUGAGAGAGAGUCUUUCCUGAUCUAGAACUUGCUGGGUAGGCUAGGCUUUGGACAUAUUCUAGGACUGUAUUUAGAUCCUUAAGCUUGCAUAGGAAACGCUUUACUGAGCUAUCUUGACAAUCCCAAGUUGUAUUUAUUUUUAAAUGAAAAAUUUCAGCCAGUAGGGAUGAAAUCAAGUGAGCAAAUAGCACAUUCUUCUUCUUAUACUUGUUUGUAUAGUAACUUAGUUUUAUUUCCAGAGUCUCUCCUGUUAGUUACUUACAGUGUGUGAGCCAGAGGCUUGAUUUACUAGGUAGGAAAGGGGAGUUUGUCAGCUCACUGAAUACAGGAUGUGUUCUUAUGAGCUUCAGUGUGUAGGCCUGUGGGUAGAAAUGUGCUGUGAUAGGAUUCAGGUUUUUCAAUGGGAGGGUUUUGUGCUUGUGAGUGAAUUAGACUGCAUUCUGGUCAUCUCUUAUUACAUGUAGAAGGAUUUUUAAAAUUCAAAUAGUUUUGUUUUUCUUAGUCUGUUUGCUAGGGUUUAAAAAUAAAAUUAUAAUAGUUUACCACAAAAUGGAGCAUUGUGAAUUUACUUGUUUGGAAAUAGAUAAUGGAGAAGAGAUGCCAUAAAAUUAGUUGGACACCUAAAUUGUAAAGUAGUUCAAAGAAAUUCAGCUUCAAUACUUACAAGUACUGGAGCAAUAAAUAAUCCAUGUAAGUAUAGAUUUUAGUCUUAUUGGCUGAUGAAAAUUGUCUAUAAUUAGUGUAGUUCAUUUUAUGUUUAUAUAAUCAAAAAUCUCACACUUAUUUGUGGAGCAAACAUCCUCAGAAGUCUCUACUAUAAACUCAAGUGAGCAGCUUGUGUACACUUGGGGACCAUAGCUUCUGAACAAGCUACAGCUAGUGAGUUUGCUUUAAUGCUGGUGGGAGACUAAUCUGGACUGAAUGAUGUUUUUAGUGGUGGAAUGGAAGAAAACAGAUGAGUUCAAUAGAUUCUAAAACUUAAGAUAUAAUAUAGAGAGUGCUGUGGGUCAGGACUGGAGAUGUCGCUCAGUGGGAGACCCGUUGCUUGCCACAUGCAACCCUAGGACCUCAGAAUAACAGUGUAAAUAGUUGUGUAGCUUAAAGAAUUAUGAAAUAUGCUCCCUUCUAAUCCCCAUCACCCAAAUAUAGAGAGGGAACUUUAAUGCCCAUCAUCGUCAGAGACUCUCUUGUUCCACUAAGAACAACUGUGAUCUUGGCUUUUAUGAUCACUCAUUUGCUUUUGACUAAACUUACCGUAUCUCUAUUCCUAAUAUUAAAACAUUAUCACAUUUAUGUAUCAGUAUCAAUUAAUGGCAAUACAUAUCAUGGCUUGGCUUCAUCUGAUUUUCUUUUGUUUUAAUUAAAUUUUUGAUACUCCUUUUUUCCCCUUUAAAUUUGCAUUGGUAUUUUGACUGUAUGUUUGUCUGUGUGACAGUGUUGGAUACUCUGGAACUGGAGUUAGAGACAGUUGUGAGCUGUCAUUUGGGUGCUGAGAAUUGAAUCAGGUCCUCAGGAAGAGCAAGCAGUCAGUGCUCCUCAUUUCUGAAUGAUCUCCUCAGCCUUCCCCUUUAAAAUUCUAAUGAAUUACUUUUUGGAGACUGUUUUGUCUUGGUGUUGAAUUCACUGUAUACUGGAGGGUAGACUUAACUUUUAAUCUUCCUCUAUCACUUCCAGUUUUAUGUAGUUCUAGGAAUCUAUCACCCAGCUGAGAACUACCUAUGGUGUUGUGCACACUAGUCAAGUACACUACCAAGUGACCUGGGUUUUCAGCUCUGUUUUUCAAGAGUACUCUUUAAAGUUUUAAUUAUAGAUUUUUAUCUUCCAUAAGCUACUUUUUAGCUUACGGGCUAGAAUAAUAAUUCCAUUAUAUUUGUAAUUUCUGUGCACAUAUUGACUUACUACAUACACACAUACACACACAGAGAGACAGACAGAGAGAGAAGGAGGGAAGGAGGGAGAGGGAGAAAAUAAUUUAAAAAAAGAGGUUGCAAGCAGGACAGUGUUUUAGUUAGAGAAGACAUUAGAACUUGGACACCCAUAUCGACUUCUCCAUUAUUUCUAUCCUAUAUAACAAAUUACAGUUACCAAACACACAAGGCAAGGAGUCAAGCUUAUUACAGGAGAUAGGCAUUCAUUUAUUCUUUACUUCAUCAAAUAAUUUAAAACACUAUCCUAGCAUGGUAAUUUUACCCCUCCUUUCUUUAGUGUGUAUCUAUUAACUGCAUGGACUUUUUGUCUAAACAUAGUGAUACCAUCACAGCGAAUCCACUUAAAACAUUUAAGAGACAUUUGAGUUGGGAACAGAUGGAGGUAAAGUGCUCAGUGGCAUGGGAGAUGGGACAGAGUUCAGCAGCCCAGUAUAUUUGGGGAACAGCUAGGUGUCCAGUGUGACUGAAGUAAAGUGACUGAGGGAAGCGGGAAGACACAAAGUGUGACACUCUCUCAAGAAGACAUGUCACAUGGGGAGCCUCACAGGGUUUUGAGUGUGGAGGGAGGAGAUGACCUGGGUUUUAAAGGAGUGUAUUGAGAAGAUGCAGUAGGGGAAGCAAACUGUAGGAACUUGUAACGAGAAGUGUGGGGUUUUAGAUGGCUCAUGUUAGGUAGGAGUAUUAAAAAUGUACAAAAGAGUUUUUGGAUUUGGAUGUUUUGAAGGUACAUAUAAGUAGAUUUCCUGACUUCGGUUUAGUGGAGACUGGAAGGUAUGAAUGGCUUCAUGUGUGAUACAAGUUUAGGAUGCUGCUGAAGUCUGAUCUUGAAAAAUAGCUUUUGAAAUGUUUGAUAAGUACGUAAGUAUGAUAUCCAGUUAAAUACUUAAGGCUGAAGUUGGUUGUAGCAGUGUAUAUUAAUUAAGAUUGAGUCUGUCUUCCCUUAAAUGUUUGAGCCAGAAUUUUUUCGGGUUGUGAGGUUUUUGGGAGUUUGGAAUAUUUUCAUAGACAUUAGCAGUUGACCAUUCUGUUCUAAAAGUAAAAUCAGAGAUGCUC